AGGAUGUGGAAUUGCACAGACAACCAGGAUGUUGGCUUAGAAGCAGCCACUCAUUAAAAGAGUGCGUAAUAGCUCACUGGUCGAGUGACUCUGCGCCGAAAAUUUAACGGGGCUAAACUAUACACCGAAGCUUGGGAUACAUCUAAUGUAUGGUAGGAGAGCGUUCUGUAUGGGGAGAAGUCGUAGCGAAAGCGGCGGUGGACUAUACAGAAGUGAGAAUGCCGGAAUAAGUAGCGAGAAUUAAGUGAGAAUCUUAAUGGCCGAAAGUCUAAGGUUUUUGGAGGAAGGUUCGUCCGCUCCAAGUAAGUCGGGAGCUAAGGUCAGGCCGAAAGGCGUAGCCGAUGCACAUACGGUUGAUAUUCCGUAACCAUCUGUAAUUUAAGCAAAGGGACACUUCAAAAGGGUGUGACCCGGGCGUUGGUUGACCCGGGCGUAAGGGACCGAAAUUAGAGUAGGGAAGCACACUUGGCUGAAGGCGAGAAAAGCUUUGCGUAUAGAAACAGAUGCCCGUACCGCAAACCGACACAGGUGGACAGGAAGAGAAUUCUAAGGCCAGCGGGAGAAGGGUAGUUAAGGAACUCGGCAAAUUGACUCCGUAACUUCGGAAUAAGGAGUGCUCGAAAGAGCCGCAGAGAAUAGGCCCAGGCGACUGUUUAGCAAAAACACAGGUCUCUGCCAAAUCGAAAGAUGAAGUAUAGGGGCUGACACCUGCCCGGUGCCGGAAGGUUAAGAGGAGGAGUGAGAGCUCCGAAUUGAAGCCCCGGUAAACGGCGGCCGUAACUAUAACGGUCCUAAGGUAGCGAAAUUCCUUGUCGGGUAAGUUCCGACCUGCACGAAAGGCGCAACGACUUGGGCGCUGUCUCGACCAUGGACCCGGUGAAAUUGCACUGGUCGUGAAGAUGCGACUUACCCGCGGAAGGACGGAAAGACCCCGUGAACCUUCACUGCAGCUUGGCAUUGGCCGCUGGUCCCGCGUGUAGAGGAUAGGCAGGAGGCAUCGAUCCGGAGGCGCCAGCCCCCGGGGAGCCGCCCUUGGAAUACUGCCCUCGCGCGACCGGCGUCCUAACCCGAGGCCGUCAACCGGCUCGGGGACCGUGCCAGGCGGGCAGUUUGACUGGGGCGGUCGCCUCCUAAAGGGUAACGGAGGCGCGCGAAGGUCCGCUCGGGACGGUCGGCAACCGUCCUUUUGAAUGCAAGAGUACAAGCGGGCUUGACUGCGAGGCCCACAAGCCGAGCAGGUGCGAAAGCAGGCUCUAGUGAUCCGGCGGCCCCGAGUGGGUGGGCCGUCGCUCAACGGAUAAAAGGUACUCCGGGGAUAACAGGCUGAUCUUGCCCAAGAGUCCACAUCGACGGCAAGGUUUGGCACCUCGAUGUCGGCUCAUCGCAUCCUGGGGCUGGAGCAGGUCCCAAGGGUACGGCUGUUCGCCGUUUAAAGCGGUACGCGAGCUGGGUUCAGAACGUCGUGAGACAGUUCGGUCCCUAUCCUCCGUGGGCGCAGGAGAAUCGAUGGAGGCUGCCCCCAGUACGAGAGGACCGGGGUGGACGCACCUCCGGUGAACCGGUUGUCGACCAACGGCACGGCCGGGUAGCCGCGUGCGGCGCGGAUAACCGCUGAAGGCAUCUAAGCGGGAAGCCGUUCCAGGGAUUAGUUCUCCUUCCGGUAAGGGCCCAGGUAGACUACCUGGUCGAUAGACGGCAGGUGCAAGGCUGGCGACAGCCUCAGCCGAGCCGCACUAAUCGCCCGAGCUCUUCCGGAA
rnacentral:rRNA from 1 species